rnacentral:lncRNA from 1 species
UGCCUGCGAAUACGUGUUGCAAACAAUACAAGCAAAGUCUUAAGCCACAAAGAGCAGUUUAAUGUAUCUGAAACUGCUCCCUAGGUAACUUUUUUGAUAUUAUCGAUACAGAAGACUGACGAGGGAUGAUUCAAUCGAUGUUAGAAAUUCUUAAAGUAAUACAAAUAUCAUUUGAUAUGCCUUCAAACUGGUCAAAAUACUUCAAUUGGAACAGAAGUUCUUCAGAUCUCAAAACUCCGGUAGUACCUAGUAAGUAAAUAAUAAAAUGGUAUUUGAAUUGUAUUUGGGAGCUUUACAUAAGGAAUUGAGAGGUGCCAGGAAAGGUGGACAAUAAUAAUCUGUGACUGGGGAGACUUUAUAUGAAGAAACGCUGUACUGUUUUGCAUCAGAAAAAGCAAAUCAGGAGGGAACUAAUUCUAGAACAUAGUAAAUUGUUUAGGAAAUCUGGGUCAGGAGUCUGUUCUUGUGUUGUGAGAUAGAAAAGAAAUGGGAAACAAUUGAAAAUUGGUCAGUUCAAGGUUGGCGAAAGGAAACUCCUUUUUACGAUGUGUGCAGGAUCACCUGAGGAGGUGUUUGCAUGGGAGGUCAGUUCAGGGCAUCAGCUUUUAAAAUUCAGCAGAGAGUUGCAUGUUUAUGAGUACUGGGAGAUGAAAAAGCAUUUAAGUCAAAUACAGAUUCUUUUUAUUAUUACUUCAAGCAGUUCCUAAAUCUUAAAAGACCGGGACAGUGCUUAUGCUGAACGAAGGUAGCGUUCUCUGUUGGGAGCUCUAGGUUUUCCCCCAAAGUUCUCACAUCUCUGUAAGGGAUUGGUGGUGUUGGGUGGGCUUCCAGACUGGUUGUGCCUUGCUUGCAGCUCCCUCUGUGACAUCUUGGGCACCUCUGAGAUCAGCAAGGCACACUUCUAAAAUGCUGUGCAAGGAAAAUACAGAGGGCACGUCUUUUUUUUUUUUGUUAGGAAACUGGCAGAUUGUGAAGGCUGGAUUUUUUUCCAUCUGCAGGUAUAAAUUGAAUGGAUUUUAACAUUUAGAUUAAUGCUGGUAUCUGAUGUGAUUUCUGCUGAGUCAGUGCAAAAAUUUUUAUUGACUUCUGUGGACAAUAGGUCAGGUCCCUUAAAAUCAAUCCUGUAUCCUGUAUUAACUACUGUAUCAUAAGGUCUGUCUACCCUUGCUUGAUGGGUUUGACUAUUUAAGGAAAGUAUUUUAGAUGGUAAGCAAGAAUCUUGUAUACUGCUAAUCUGGGAGGAAUUACCCAAUUAACACGUUCCCAAAAGCCUGCCCAAAUGUCUCACCCAGCCAGCUGUAUUUUUAGCAGUCUUUGCCUCUAAAGCAGGUCAUGUAGGUUCUUUUUAGCUACAAUUUACUACUGAAAUCUGUGUUGUUUUGGGAACGCUUCAUUCAUUUCUCAGAACUGGGGCAAUUGCUGAAGAUCAUCUCAGAGGGGAAAAAAACGGUUUUUAAACCUUGAGGCAUAACCUUGGGAAAUGUGAUGGUGAGAACGCAAUGUGCCAGGCAGAGCUGGGGUUGCAAUCACCCUUACAAAAACUAUCAAAGCAAGUGAUGAUUGAACAGAAAGGACAGGAGAAACACAGGACUUGAAAUACGUGUGGUUGGUACAUCGUUACGUUCAUCUUGAAAACCCAUGAGUCAGAUAAUUAGUAUCCUUAGUCUACAAAUGACAAAAUGGAGUUGCACUUCUCUUUGGAGCUGCUGUGAAAAUGUUUGGGUGAAAAAAAAAUAUACAGAUGUGUUUGAGCAAAAUCUUUUUUUUUUUUAAAGAUUGCAGGGCAGCAGAUUGGUCUUUUGAUAGGCACGUGGGUAGGAGAAAAUACACUUUUCUUUAGAAGUUUGGUCUGGUCCAUGGUUCAAAAUGAUGCAAUUAGAACGAAUGUCUCUAAACAAAUGCUCAGUGAAAACUGGAAUAUUUCUGGCAGAGCUGUCUUGAUUAUUUUCAUUUGUCUUCUGUUGUGCAGAAGCAACCAGAAAACAAUGUUUUAUUUGAGAAGACCACCAGAUGCACCCUUAGUGCCCAACUGAAGGCAGCAAAGUGUGGUUCCCUUGUGUUCUGUUAGCAUUCAGUAAAUAUCGUCCAGCAAAAUUAUGUAAUCUGGUAUUAGUAUUUAUCUCUUUAGAGUUCUAAAGUCCCAGUUUCUAAAUAUGCCUGAAAUGUUGCUCUCUAAAUAAUGUAUGCUAAUGAGAUGGUCAUUAAUGUGGAUAGACAAAGCUGGUUCCACACAGGCUGGCUCGUCCAGCACUGCGGAUAGGAACGGGAAUCCAGAGUGAACUCAGCAGCUGAAAUAGUUUGGGUUUCAUUUGCAGCCCGAGUUUUGUUUUAAAAACUUGACUGAACUUGUUACGCUACAGCAACGAAAGCAAAACAGAGUUCUUGCCCUGUAAAGUUCACACCUAUUUUUGAACAGUUCUUUGGCAGUCAUGUCUAUUGAUACGUAUUAGCACUUGAGCUGUGCAGAAAACAAUAAGGAUUUUGAAUGGCGAGGGCAGUGCCUUGACAUGGCAGGAGGAGGAGGAGGGUUUGCAGCCUGUUGGCCCCAGAGGUGGGUGAACUUCAAAGCCAGAUACCUGCUGGGCUGUGUGCUCCUGCCAGGCUGUGCCACUUCGCUGUUCCUAGAGCUGGAAAUGUGUCGCACUGAGAAGCAACAAUUAAUUAAAAAAAAGGGGGGAAAAAAGCCCUUGAAUUUCAAUGCAGUGAACGCAUUACAGUGUUUCUUGUUGUUGCUGCUCACGUGCUCCAUAAACAAGAGCAGGCUUACUUCCUUGUGAGUCAACCUGCCUGUUACGGAAUUUGUUGUGCUUGGAGAAAAACAAAUAUUUACUUCAUCCUUUGCUGAGAAAGUCACGACCUUCAGCCAGUUUGAAGGCUGCCUGGCUCUGCUGCCUGGCCCCAGUGCAGGAUGGCCAUGCCCUGGUUGUGUGUGCGCUGUGCUGCCCGUGGGAGCUCCUGUGGGACAGCGCUCAAUGCAUUUUCAGCUUUCUGCUGCUAAUCUCGUUUGUGUGAGCGAACUCUUCUUAAAUGGUCAUUUAAGUCUCUCUCCUGGGCCUGGUUGUAAUACUGGGGCUUUGGAAAGGUUGUUAGAAGGCAGCUUUCAGAUACUGAUGCCUAUUUUUUCCUUUUAAAUGCGUCCGCCUACUAGCAUACCCUAUUCUGAAUAAGGCCCGUCUCCUCCCAGUUCCAUUUGCAUCCAUCUUAAUACUGCAGGCUUCUGUGAUUUUUCUAUAUUGUUUGCUACACAAAGUGGGCAUGUUUUACUCUUGUUUCUCUCCUGCUUGAUGUGGUGUUUCUUUUUUUUGCAUGUGUAGCCAAGGUUUCAUUAAUGUUUCUUGUUACCAAAUCACACUGCAAGCCUUGUAAGAAUUUCUUGGCUUCUCGGUUUGUCACUCCCACUGAAUUUUUCUUUCAGAUUAUUUUCCUGUCGGAUGUCUUCGCUGCACUUUCCCAAGGAGAAUCUUAUUUUUAAUUGCCUGUUUUUCAACUUUCUCUGUCCUCGCUGGGGCUUGCAUCUCCUAAAUUUAGUAUCAUCCACGGAUUUCAAGAACACACACUUUAUUUCUGCAUCAUUAGCUAGGAUUUUAAAGAAAGAAAAUAGAGAAGAAGGCUUCCCGCGUCCUUGAUAGAUGCAUCCAAAGACUUGGUAUAUGAUUUUCAGUUUGCUUUGUUUAUUUCCUUGUGCAGUGUUCAGGCCCCGUUGAAAGCAGUUUAAAUAAUUUUGGUAGAGUGUCAUUUGAUAUAGUCAAAUGGCUUUCUAACAUACAAGUAUUUUAUCUACUGUGUUCUUGUUAUCAACCAACUGAAACUCUCUAAAAAAAAGUGAUUGACUUCAUUGGUCUUUGUGUGUGCUUUGUAAGCCCCUUUUCCUGUACUGCUUUUGGUUGGAAGAAGAUAAUCAUCUUCCAUAUGUCUUAAGGUUUUACUAAGACUGCAGAAACCAAACUGUUCCUUUUUAGGAGAAGUACAAUUUGCUGAUAGGAGAGGAAAACAUAUGGAAAUUGUUAUGUGAACUUGAGGUCCAAGUGUGUCUUUAAUCUAUAAAUAGAUCCCUAGUAUUCCAUGUCUUAAAAUAAUUAUUGUCUGUAUUUACCAAGCUUGUUUGCUCGUAUCUCUUUACCAGCUCACCUCCUUGGAAUAUAUUAUAUUAUGGAGUGGUGCUGAUAUGUCUGCCUGAGGCUCUUACCUGCCCUUAUUAAUGCUCAUUUGCAGUGGCUAUCAAUUUGCACUGCACUGAGGUGAUACAGAUAGAAUCGUGGGACUGCCAUAGCAUGUGUGUUUGCAGGAGUACUGCUGAGAAUCACUGUCUGUUGUAGAUUUGAUUUCUGCAUGUCUGAAUGCAUGUGUUUCUCACUGUAGAUGUCUCAAAUUUGUUUUCUCUGUAUUGCCUUUCAUACUUGUUGCAGCUAAGUGUAUACGUAUAAAAAUGUUUUAUAAGUCUGCAAUUACAUUCUAAUUGUUCAGCCUUUCCUUUAUUUCCCCCUUGAGCUUUUAAAAUGUGGUCAGCGUAGCAGGCUACUUGACUUUUUAAUCCUUCCUCCUUCAUCAUUUGCUGAUGGUGCAGCCUGUCCUUGCAGUGGCACGAACUGUUAGCUCCCUCCAUGUCCAUGCGGUGCUCCUUUCUCCCUGCCAGCUGCAUCUGAUGCCGCAAUUCUGGUGUGGGUUCUCCUCUUGUCCAGUGUGGAAGCUCAAAUCUUGGCCAUCGUGUCUGUGUAGGCCCCAUUGGUCAUUUUGAGCUUCUUGCAUGCCUGCCUUGGAGAGGGUCUGGAGUUCCUCGCAUAUGGGGAUAUUUUGUACUUUCACGAGGUUGUUCUACACUUCUAAUCCUUUCUUCCACCUGACCUUACUCUGCUCUGAAUUGCCACGCAGCUUUGUGCUGGUAGGAAGCCACUCCGGGAUGGUUUACCUCCUCGGCAGCUCUGUGAUAGGUCUAUUAAGAGAUGCACUUCAUGGCCUGAUGCUGCCCAAUUUCAUUAUUUUAGUUAAUGAGCAGGAAGCCAAUCUAGCAGAGCCCCUGCUGAGUGUGAUGUCUGCUCCUCGCACACCGUGUGUGGUCCAGAGGUGUUCUGCCACCUCCAUCACCCCAUCCUGAGACCUGCGAUACAUCCCAGAGCUCUCUCGCCUUCUUUCCGCUCCCUACUACUCCUGCCCCCCACUUCUAGUCUUAAAUCCGUCCUUUAAACACACCAAAUUUCUUCUGAGUAUUCAAUUUCUAUUCCUCUGUAGUUGGGCAAAACUGCUGUAGCCUUUUUCUUUUGUCGAGAUUUUCCUUUUGCUCGAAUUUCCUUUGAUAGUUAAAAAAAAAAAUGCUGUAUUCACUUAUUCAUAAAAUAAUCCAUUGCAAAUCUCAUUUGUAUCAUCUCUCUUGGUUCUGCUUCUUUCUGAGUUAUUACUGCUCAUUGAAUACGUUGGAAUUAUUUUUCUUCUGCUUGUUUUUUUUUCUUCCAGGUGGAAACUGAUUUUUUGUCCUUUUUUUCAUCCAUAAUACAUACGCUCCCAGUCUCUAAUGGUAGCUCUCAGUUUUGUAGACUGUCUCUGAAAAUGUAAUUGCGAGGUUUAUUCCCAUCUUUAUAUUAAAUAAGAUACUUAAUACGGCCAGACAAAUUCUAAUCCCUGUGGCAAUGUACUAAACGCAUUUGUCGGCAUGUAGCAAAUGACUGUUCUAGUCCGUCAGCCAUUCUUCAAUGCACAUGGUGGGCUUGCUACUCACAGCUACAUGUGCUCAGAGCACUGUUCUCCCUAUCAGUGUGUUUCGGGACCAGGAGCACUUGGAGGCCGAUCUCCACUUCUGCAUCAAAACAAGCCUAAAGAGUCAACAUCUUUUUCUGUUUCUUUUUUUUUCGUGUGUGUGUGUGUGUGUGAAAUGGUAAGUGCCUGGCUUUGUAGCUGAAAGAGCACCAAAACCCCAAUGUGUUUGGUCUGUUGUGGCCCCAAGGACAGCCCCUGGGCUUCCUGCCUGCCCUCGCGCUGAAAGGAACGUGAGCACCGUGCAGUUCAAGUUAUCCUCUUCAGGCAGCGGAUGGGUGUUUUUCUUGGAAGGAGCACAACCACCCAGUUAUGGAAAUAUGAAAACAACAUAAGAAAGCUUUGGGACAAACGGGACGAGGCUGCGUUGCUCCUUCCUUGUGAGGGUGCUUAAGCUGUGAUGCCACCGAGCCGCUGUGUGGCAGGGAAGCUUGGAAGCUGAACGCCUUUCAGGAGUAAGUGAAAAUCACUGCGUUUCUGUUAAAUUAGGGGGAAAGAAAAAAGAAUGUACCUCGUACUGCUUUUUAAUUGUAUGGAAAAUUAUGCCUUGUGUUAAGGCCUGAAAAUUUGAUAUUAAAUUAUUCUUUGGAGCGCUGUAUUUCUGCUUCCAGUAUUUAAAAGUAAUCAAACUGCUGAACGUGGGAAAGUGUUUUGUGUACCACCUGGAUUUAGAAUUAGUAGGAAUGUUAAAUCAGCUGUAACUCAUUCUACAUCUGCAGACAAAAUCGUAUUGCCAGAGUUUAUUUAGUGAAUUCCAUUCACGGCCUCGUUCAUACACUGUUAGCUAACUGAAAGAUUUAUUUUUCUUAUGCAACUCGGAGUGUUCGUCUUCUGCUGUAUCUGAAUAUAAAUUUCCUGAAAGACGAGUCUGUUUUAAUGUAUGGUGGAUAGAUCUUUGGUUUAAACCUGAUGGAUUUAAAUGUACAAGUAAAUUCGGAUAAUCCUUUUCCAUUUCAUGCGAACACUUUAUAAGACAAAUCUCUGAAAUAGCCACUGCUGUAGACUUCUGGGCUCAGUUUCCAUCCAAAUGCAACUGGAACAGGUCAAAAGAAAAUUUCAGUAAGAAAGGGAAAUUAUGGCUCGUGGUGGAUGUAAAGCUUACAGUGAAAAGUGUGUGUGCAUAUAUACGUGCAGACAACACAAUUUACAUGGAUACUUAAAUCAUGUAACUUUUUUAGAGUGUGAAGUCUAGAUUUAGAAGCAAAUUAAGGCUUGCUAGUAUCGAGCAAUCAAUAAGAAACAGCGUUUCUCCAGGAAAAUGGCUUGAAAGCACAAAAGUAGACAAAAUAGGCUAUUUGAAUCAUGGGAGGGAAAGUCAUUCUGCUUUUCUGCCUUAUUGUUUUUAAGAACCCAAUCAUAUAUAUAAUGUUGAAGUAUGUGGUAUAAAUUAUUACUGGACAUAUUUUUGGUAGGAAAAGUCUGGUCGAAAGAUGAAGAAUGGAUUUGGUGUUGCACUUUAAAUUGAGAUAAGUUUCACAGUUUGUCAUGAUUGAAAAUGUAUUCUCCUUCACUUGCUUUGCAGUUAAUCAUUGCAUUUCAGCUGUCAUGUAGGAAGGAUCUACUCUUGUAAUCAUUUUGCCAGUUUACAGUAGGUAAUGUGUGCAUGAUGUGAAGCCCAGGUACUAAGGGUGACUUAGAUGUGGCAUAGAGGUUUGUGUUGUGAGGCCAUGUUGGCAGGGAUGGUUCUGGAAUGGAUGAGCAUUUUAUACUACCUGCAAACAUACAGCUCUGUGCUAGAAUGUGGGUAAGUCUAACGUAUGCACGUGGGUAUCUUAGCAAGAAAGGAAUCAACGCUCCGAACUGAUGUUUUACUGUGAGGUUGCACGAUGGAUGCUGUUGGGGAAGCUCACAAAAACAAAUUGCUUGGAUAUUUUGUCUUGGCUUUAAUUGACCCUGAACUACAGUGGCUGCUUAGGUGCCUUCUUGCAGCCUCAGCCCCUACUGUUAAGCUGUGCAGUUCAUUGGGUUUGAAAUGUGGUGGGAUUUUUGUACUUGUUAAUGCACAGCUUGUGUUUUUGAGAGUUCACUUUUCACCUGCAUGCCACCGUGAAAAACCUCUUCCCUCCUCCCCUGCCAGGCCCCAACCUUGCGUCUGUAACAGAAAGGAAAAGCCUGACCCUUAAGGGCAGGCAUGGCUCAGCUGCACCUUAGUUUUCUUCUUUAUAUCCCUUGCCAGCUUUAUGACUUCAGAGAUUUGGUGACUAGGAAUUCUCAGGGAGGGUAAAUGAGUAAAUCUUGUUUUCUUUUUCUAAGCUGGGGGGAAAAUAUAUACAUAUAUCGAUAUAUAUAUAUAUAUAUGUUUUGAGUAUUUUUCCAGUCCAGUGAAUCGGAAGGAUUAACUUUGCACUCUAAUAAAUAAAACAGCCUAGCAGAUUUUGUCCAAAUGUUUCUUCACCAGACUUAAAUCCUAAUCCUGGACUAAAAUCUCAUAGGCUUGUGGUAAAAUUGUUCCAGACUAAAACUUGGCAAAGUAAAAAAUCUCUGAAAGCAGGGUUCACAAUGGAAAUGCUGAUGCAAGCAUAACUAGAGCAUUGCAAAUGCGACGCCAUAAGAACAGCUUUGCAUAUUGCUCAUGAAUAGCUCAGAGGUAAAAGGAUUAACACUUCUUAAUACUGCUUUGAAUCUGCUUGACUUUUUGCUUGCUGGACUCAACACAGAUAUUCUGCAGUGUACAUAGCUUCGUAUAUUGGCCUUUUACUCAGAUCCUUUUCUCCCCCAUCCCCCAGCUUGAGCGUGUUUUAUUGCUGCAAAUAGAGGCCUUUGUUACCUCGAAUUUCCCGCAUCACCUCCCUAGGUUUGUCAGCGGACAGAAAUGAAUACCUGCAGUAACAGUUGGAGCUCAGCCUGUAGCUGCUCCAUUUGCGGGGUGAGGGAACGCACGUGGUGUGUGGGGAGGAGGAGCCGUGGGGCUGCUCUCCUCCGGUACUGCGGUACCACAGGUUACGUCCCAUUAAAAACUCCCUGAAGCAGAGUGCCUCCUUCUUGGUUGGCAUUGCUGAACCUAUGCACAGCCUUUGGGUCUCCUUGGUUGCAGCUGAAGCACUGGGAAGCGAGCGCGUGUGUGCUUCUUGGUGGGUUUCUGGGCUUCCCUUGAAGAUUUUCACCCUGUAAAACUUGCUGCUGCCAUCUCAGACUGUUACAAACACUGUUCCUGUGAAGUAAGAGCAAAGAACAUCUUGUCGAUCCUCUAAAGCAGUUCAGGGUCGUGUGUGUAUGGACACCAACACACACACACACACACGUAGCUAUAUAAAUAUCCCAUUGCUGUUGCCAUAGUCACUCGCUGGACUUUAUACCAGCACCUGUGCAGGGAGGUGUCAGGGAGAUGUAUUUUAAAUACGAGCUGAAAUGCAUCCAGCAGCAGAUCAGAUGGGUUUUAAAGGCCCCUUUCCUCCACCAAAGCUUCAGCUAAUUUGCUUUCGCACAAAAGGGAACAAACUUGAAUUUCUUCAGUGUUUAAGCAAAUAAUAUUUCAUAAAAAAAGGUAAUGUGUAUGAUUAAAGACAAAAUACUUGGGCUCUGGCUGGUGGUUAUUUGCAGCAGGCGCACGGCCUUCAGGCAGUAAUGGUAGGAAAAGUGAGUGUGUGGUUACUGUCAGUCUGCUUGACAACUGGUAUCAAUAGAAAUUCCCUUGGCAAGAAAAUAGAGAGAGGUCUUCUACAAACCCGAGUAUUAUUUUCUUUGACUUCUUUUUGCUUUGAAUAUUUUUUUUUUCUUAAACCAAGAUAAGUAUGUAUGCAGAUCAAAGUCAUCUGAAUUGCAUACAGGAAAAAAAAAAGUGGUCAUUAUUGCUGUAAUUCACAUCGGUGGUACACCUUGCUGCUUCAGAACUCACGGCCUUGGCCGUGUAUUACUGUGGGCGUGAGAUAUUUUGAUGUUAAUGCAUGUGUGUGUGCCACGGUACGUGCUGUGUGGGGCUGUGUGUAAGCACUGAGGACACUCCGGUAGCCUCUAAUUUCUUUGGCUUUGAAAAUUACCAAAUAAAAGAAUAAGCAAGAAAUGUACGUAGUUAAAAUUCACAGUGGAAGGGAAGAUCCUUGGGGAAGAUGCGCGUUGGUCUUGGAUGGUUAUUAAAGUUUCUGGUUAGUGCUUUUAAUAUAACUUCUGAGGCAGCUUUUAUCGAAAGAUCUCGGAGCACAUUAGGGACGAGUUCAGACUUAAACCUCCCUGUGGUGAGCGGGGCAAGUACCUUCAAGAAACUGAUGUCCAGAGAUGCCUGCCAUGUUUGCCUGCGCUUAUUUGGAAAGCUGGGUCUUGUUUAUGCCCGAAAUUAAUGCAGAUUAAGGCAGGGUGUAAGCACAGUAGUUGUUUCUGAUUAAUUAAAUGUGCAGAUUCUUUUUUUUUUUUCUCCUGGAACAAGAGCAUCUUGUUUCUGGUUAGCAUAUCCUCUUUGAAAUAGCACUCAUUACUGAAAGCUACCCACUCGUGGCUUUAAUAAAGAGCUAUUGUGUGAGCUGGAUGGUCCCUGCUGCCGCAGCUGGGGGAGCGGCGUGGGCUCUUGGCCUUGCCCUGUCCCCGGGUGGGCUGGCACCCCACAGCCUGGCUGGUCCCACAGCUGGCGGUGAGGCUGAGCUGAGUGCCGUCCCACGGGCCCCAUGCUGCUGCCUUGUCUCUGAGGUUGGUGUCCUGUGGUGGCUGCAUGGGCUGGGGGUGUUGCCAUCUGCAGAAGGGGAGCAGAGGCAAGGAGCAGUGCCAGGGCUGUGAGAGGUUUCGUCUCUACUGCUAAUAACUGCAGCUGAGAGGCUUUUCCUUCUGUGGCUGCAGAAACUUUUGCUGAUUGCUAACAGCUGUAAGUUGCUAUGUGAGCAAACUCUUAAAAGCUAAAGGACUCCAUUUCAGAUGUUGCGAGGGAGAGAAUUUCUGUAUUUUGUGGUUGCUGUAGCAAAACCCUUCUGCAAUCUAUACUUCAGCCUUCUCUCUGAGAACUGAGGAGACUUUCCAACACUGUGUCUGUGUCAUCAUAGAAUCUCUGAAUCACUUAAGUUGGAAGAGACGUUAAAGCCCGCCCAGUCCCAACCCCCUGCUGUGGGCCCAGUGCCUCCCACCAGCUCAGGCUGCCCAGAGCCCCAUCCAGCCCAACCUUGGGCACCUUCAGGGAUGGGGCACCCACAGCUCUCUGGGCAGCCGUGGCCGGGCCCCGCUGCCCACUGAGAAAAGAGUUUUUUUCCUAACGUCUAAUCUGAAUUUCUCUUCUAGUUUAAAGCCAUUCCUCAUUCUGUCGCUGUCAGACCAUGUAAAAAGUUUAUUUCCCUCCUGUUUAUAAGCUCCUUUCAAGUACUGAAAGGCCACGAUGAGGUCUCCUUAGAGCCUUCUCUUCUCUAGUCUGAAGGGCUCCUCAAGCCUAACUCACUUAGCCUGUCUUCAUUGGAGAGGUGCUCCAGCCCUCUGCUGAUCAUCAUCGUUCCCCUGAAUGCUUGGGUGGGUUAGUGAAGUCUUCUAAACCAAGAGCUAGCAUUAUAGUUCAUUAGGGAAUUACUUUUCUUGUCUUUCAAACAGGUUUAUGUAAAGGAUUAGUAAGGUUCUGAGCGAGGUUUUGCAGCCUCCUGAUGACUGCACAUAAGGAUGUGCCAUGGAACACACCGUGUGUGUCUCUGCCUGCCUGCGUGGAGUGCAAAUGUGGUAGUGUAUGUCCAGGUUCCUAGGGCAGCCCCUGUUGCUGUGAUACCUAAGAGACUUUAAUUCUUGGUAGGUUUGUACCCUUAGGAAAUUUCUGGGGAAACAGGACAGUAAAAAACCAUUCCAUACGUUUCCAUGCACAGAAACGGGGGAUCUGGAAGAUGGAAUAUCUCCAGAGGUGAUCUCAGCCUGGUACUAUGUAUGGUAGUUUGCCUCUUGCUACGGAACAAGGUGGCAUGCUGAUGGAGAUGCAUCUGUUCUGUAUUUAUUUUGCUUUAUUUGGAAAAAGUUUGAUUUGGAAUGUGGGGCAUGGCUGAUCUGCAGAGGAGCACGCUGGUUUGAAGGAGCAUACGUAAGCACUCUCCAAACUGGAAAUAAGAAAGGUGGAGCAGCGAAACAUUUGAAUGCCUAAAGGUAAUAAAACACUUGAAGGUGAAUUGAAAGUACCCAAUGGAUUAGCACUUUCAAGUUCCUGGAACCCUUGGGGUGACAACUCAAAUCCAUUUCUGGCCAAAGAGCCAUGAGAGCUGUAGAAGUGCAGGGAAAAAAUGCGAGGCGAGUGGUUGGGGGGGUCCCACUGCUCUCUGCUCGCGUGCCUGGUGCUCCCCAGAGCGCUGCAGUGCUGUGAGAUGGUUUGUUUCUGUGCCCUCCUACCUGUGUAACAGGGAGGGUAAAACUGAUGCGAUGUGUUCUAACGUUGAAAAUUUUACGAAGGCAUUCUGUAAGUGUAAAGUGAUUCAUAAUUCAUCAGGGAUAAGUGAAUAUCUUGCUUCUCCUCUGAAGUGGGCUUUGCUUGCUCGUGCUGUGGUCUGUUUGCUUGUAGUCUUUAAUGCUUGUUUGAUCACUCUGGCAGUUUGCAAGAGUACCCUUAUAAUGCAGGAAAAAGGCCAGUUUGGGGAGCCUUUGUGUAAGUAAGAUAUUAUGACUGAAAGAUACCUCAUAGCUCUUUGUCUUCACAAAAUCCUGCAAAAAUGCUUCCGAGGGUGCCUGCAUGCCAUGUCAGUGGCAGCUGUUGUGCAGAUGGAGACAGCCCACCUGCACUGACCAGUGUGGGGUGGGAGCAGCUCCCAUCCCAUCCUGUCUUGCUGGUGGUGGGGCACCACAGAAGCAGCCCAGUGGGUUCCCACUGUGUUUCCCGCCGCAAAAACAAACUGACUUUAUGGGCUGUUGAAGCGGAGGCACAGUUUAGAUGUUUGUUGUUUUUUCCUCUGCAGUCUUCAUUGCUGUGGGCUAGUCUAUUUAACUGAAUUCCCGCUGCCACACAUUGCUUAACAGUAUCUAUAGGAUGUGUUACUAAUUGCAUGUUUUUGCUGCGGUAGUGAGCAUAACUGAAAGCAAAAGUUUUCAUUGUAAUGGAAUAUGGCUUCUCCUGUGGAAUGUUUUUCUUGCUGACCUCACAUUUUUAAGGAGUGUGGUGGAGCCGGUUUGGUACCUGGGAGAAGCCGGCAGCCCCAGUGGUUAGGCAUCUCCAGUGCUGUAAUGUUGUAUUCACAGAAGGCCUCAGGUACACAGGAGAUGGAUCUACAGAGCUGAUUUUGCAGAGGUGAGAUGCUAAAGGGGCUCUGGAGACAUUGCGUUUGCAGAGCAGGUGCUUCUAUUCUACAUGUCAACUGGAGAUAAUUGGGGAAUGCACGUCCCGUAAAGUAAAAUGUCCUGGGUUUGGGGGUCUUCUGGCACUGAAGUGAAGGAGCCCAUACAAACUGACAAGGAAGGAUAGUUUGGAUUGGAAAGGUUAAAUCUUGAUUUUCCGUUUUAUUUCUUUUUAAAUGAGUGCCUCUUUUUCAACAGGUGCUUUGUUGGCACGGGCUUAAAAAUCAGUAAGGUCAGAGCUGCAGUGAACUUCAGAGGAUGGCUUUCGCUAUCUUCCUCUGCCAAGUCGCAGCAAAAGAGCACAGUCCCUCCCUGCCUUUCAUCCUGCUGACUCGCAGAGCAGAGCCGUGCUCACUGACGGGGUAUGUCAUGUGGGCUGUGGUUGCUGGGAGAUGAGAUCUGAGCGAUACCUUGAGCGUGGCGAGCAAUGUGGGGAUAGUCUCACGGUGUUGUGACCGAUAGCAGAGGAUCAGAUAGUGAUUGCUAAACUGAAUCACAAGUGAAAGUCAGCUAAGCCCGCUUAUGUGCUCAAAAAAAAAAAAAAAUUGAAGUGGAAGGGAAAGAUUGAUCCUAUUCCUCUCCACUGCUCUUUGCAUCCCACUUUCUUCUCUAGAACCUCUAUAGACUUCUUGAGGCUGUGAGCCAAGCUGUGUCAAGGUGAUAAGUAACUCCAAGGUAGGGAUUAGUCCAGGUUAGACUGGAGUUCAGGGGAAGAGCUUUCAGUAUUUCUGCCUCCAGUUACCCAGUGAAUUCUUGCUGGUGUUGUUUGUGCAGAUUCAGCUAUGUUCUGUUCUCACUGCCAUAGCAUCUGUCUUCCCUUUCUUGGAAGGUAGGUACCCCCUUGCCCUGCCAGGCCUUUAGCAUACCUGUUUAUACAUGUAUGAAUGAUGCAGGUGUACGUGUGGGUGUGAACUGUUCUGAUAAGCCUAGGGAGAGCCAUUGUGUUGUGCUUGGCUGAUGGUGACUUUCCCUUUUCUACAAAAGGACCUCACUGUAUUAAUCUUUCCAUGUUGUAGCACCUGUUGUCUGCCAGGUAGGUCUUAAGUAUUGUGUUCAGAGAAGAUUAUCGCUGUGCUGGCUAUAGAAGGAGGAGGAGACUGGAAAAUUUCUGCUGUUUUUUUAAGAGGAGUAAAGGGGAAUCUACUAACAUAGUCGAAAAGGUCAAGAACAGCACUUUGGGAAUCCUCUGGGAUGUAUCAUUAAUCCCUACAUUUGAGAUUUCAUAUUAGAGAUAGAUUUUGGUGUAGAACUCACGCUGGAGACGUGCAGUUCGAUGUUAUAUCACUCGAAUCGAUGCAGGCAGUUCAUCACUGCUAUCUAAAAAGCCACUAUGUUGACACAUGACAGCGUUGUUAUAUCAACAUGAAUUGUUCUGACAGGCUGUAGGAGUUGUGUAUGUUUUUAAGGUAUGUAUCCCUGGACUGGACCGCUGGAUGACGUAGCAGAAAUUCUGCUCUUAUGAAGUCCUCAACCUGCUCGUUGUUGUUUUCACGUGCACAGUAAUUCCUUAAGUUCUUUGAGAUGCUCACUGUGUGGAGUAGGUUAAAGCAAAACGUGGAGUGUUAACAGAAGUCUGGAGUGUUGUUUGUGUGGAAAUUGCUGCUACUGUAAUAUAUUUCGAAGCUGUUCUUAAAAAAAAAAAAAGUCAACAGCAAACAGCAGAAAACAUGUAUUGCUACCAUGGAUUUAUCCAACCUGAGACAACUCUCCAGCAAGCUUUGCUUGAUCUAAGGCUGUUUAUACAAACUGAAUAUUUCUGUAGCUCUGUCAUCUCUCGAGUUAUAGGCAGUACAAAUUAAAAGUUACUUUCGGCGUUGUUCCAACAUUAAACUCAGCUGGUGACUUACUGGAGAGCAGUGAGAAGUAAAAGGGCUGAGUUGCCCAGAGCAUCCUCUCUCUGACAGUAUGGCCUGUGUUCAUCCCCGAGAGCAGUCCUGGCUUCUGAAGUACUGUAGUAGCAGACAUGUGUUGCCUAUGCAGUGAUGAGGAAAACAAGGGUAAUGUGUGCUGCAGGGUGUUUCCUAUGCAUCUGCCCGGUUUUAUUUUUAUACGAUAUAUUUAUACACAUGUGCUAUCUUCUCAGUUUAGCUCUAAUGCCCUCUAAUUCUGGGUAUGCGGUGAAAAUCAAUGUGGAGGGAAGAACAAGGACCUUGGAGGCUUUGUAGGAUAUAAGAAAUCCCCAAAUUUUCAAAUGUUGUGCGUGGUUAAAUGAAUUAGUGCUCCCUAUAACAGUGGUCCCGCUGAUAAGUUGAGAAUAAAACUCUGGCUUGAGAACUGUAGCAAAACACAGGGAGACUCAAGCUGGCUGAUUGCAGGCUUUAAAUAUCCAGAAUGAUUCAUCCUGCUUUUUUGUUGUCCAAACCUGUAGUUAAAAAUUACUGUAUACUUUAAGUAAAUUGAAGAAGGGUUACCACAGAAAUGUGAGAAUAAACUUGAAUGACAAAACAUCAAAUUAUUUUCAAUUCUUCCUUUAUAAGACUGCUCUUAGAGCCAAAGAAUGAUUAUUAGUGACCCACAGUGCUAUCCAGAAGGAGUUUGUAAUUUUCAGUUGAGUCAACAGAGAGGAUUUAGCAGCUGUGUAUUAUGAGGAGAGUGGGCGACAGGCAAAUUGUGAGAAUUGGUGGAAUGUGGCUCGGAUAGCUACUUGUUGGAUGAAGGCUGGAGUGCACAGGACAGUUGAAAAAGACUGCUGGCAAAUUAGGAUGUAGCUGUUAAGUAGACUACAAAGAGAAGUGUCAGCAUCGUGAGUCUGGGCACUUGUUUCCUGUUCGUACCCAGGACUGGCGAUGAGCUUAGCCUUUGUGUCAUCUUCCUCUGUGCAAGGCUUGCACUGUCCUUCAGCCUUUGCUUGCUGAAAGUGGAGAACAGAUGGGAGAAACAAUAGCCUUUUGUAUCUGUCUGAGAAAAGAUAAGAGAAUUAGGUCUCUCAGCCCUAAAAGUAAUCUGGCCAUACGGUUACGUCAUCUGUGGCAUUCACACUAGUAGUAAGGCCCAGGUACCUUCAGUGUUAGGCACAGACAAGUCCAUGGGGUGUGUGGUUGAGGGUGUAAAACAUGCCGGUUUCAGUGCAGUUGAAGAUAACACUUUUCUCUGCACAAACUGUCUGGGAUAGGGCAAUUUGUAUCCCCCCGAUUGCAGGCAAGAUAGGAACUGGCAGACAGUAUGGACGAUAGAUGCUCUCUUAAAUGGAGUUACUUGUGCAGUGUGACAUCUCUUGAUCUCCCAGAAGCUUGGGGAGAGGAAGGGAUGAGUGGAAGUGUGGGGCUAGUUGUGUUUUGGUCUCUGGAAGAGCAUAGUUUCUGAGGAAGGAAAGGAUUAUGCAAAGUAAGAGGAUGAGAGAAGCAGUACUCCAGCCUGGUACCAUCCCUGUGGGGGGCACACAGCAGGCUCUUAAUGUGCCCUAGUAUAAAGUUCUCCCCUUAGCCACUUCAGCUGUAGCAGGAGUUGAGCCUGGGCAUUAGUUCUGGCUCUCAGGGAAGAGAAUUAGUUUUAAUUCACCACCUGUUUGCUUUGAUAGAGAUCUCAGCUGCAGGUUGAAGCAGUUGGGUGGGUCUGGGUUGCUCCAUGGGCUGUUGUCACUUCUCUGCUUCCUCAAGCAAGGAGAGGAUUUCACAGAGCUCCUGUCUUGUCUUCAGUGAUUCUUUUUUUCCUAUCUCCCCCGCAAAUGAAACAGUUCAUGUUUUGCAGCACGUCAUAUGAUAUCCAUAUACGUGAGAGUGUUGCUGCAUUGUAUGUGAAACCUAGUUUGAGAUAUCUUCUGUCUUCCUGGGGAUGGGGCAGCUGGGAUGAGGAAGCUCCAGCAGGCCAGCACUGUGGCACAUUGGGCUGUGCUACUGUUUGCACUGUAUGCAGCCUAAGCAGAUGUCUGAGAGCUGUUUGGCCUUGUUUCUGGGUGUCUUAUGAAUGGGGAAUGAGAAUAAAUUAUUUCUUCAUUUGUCAUAAGAGAGAAAUUGAGUAGAGAGUCAACAGUUUCUGAGAAAUCCAUUGAUGGAAAAACGGCCCUCACCCUCUCUGGCCUGGGGCUCCUAUACAGGGAGACCUCUGGCUGCAGGAAUUGUGUCUUCCUGCUCUUCGUGAAUGACUGUGUUGUGCAGUGGGAGAUAAUGUGGGGAGCCCUCAGUCCUGUUCUUAAACAGGGCACCUAUUUGCUUUACAUUCCAAGUGUUCUGCUGAACAUUAACUUGUUUGCUGCUUUCUGAGCUUGCACACGUGGUCAGGGCGCAGGAAUUGAAUAACCCUUGAAGAAUGAACUCCUUUGUUGCCCACCGAGGCAUAGCUGUAGCAUUGUUUUCAGCACUGGCAGGGCGGUGAGUAAUAGCGUUGCAGCUGCUUCACUGAGCUCUGGGCUUGAGGAUACCUUAGUCCCUUUGGACUUUGCAAAAUCAUUCACAGGAGGAAAAAGAUGAAAUGCAUUUGUAAGCAAGGCUUGAUUAUUUGUUUUUGUAAGUGAGGAAAACAGUUGUACUGUGGAAGAAAUAAAGCACUUAGACUUCGCUUUGUAAAAAUUUGAUGGGUUGUAGCAAGGUGCCAGCGUCUUUUCAGAAUAAAUUUUCAAAUUGUGGACACGGCUUUCCUCUCACCCUAUCUUUUACAUCUGGUGUUGCUAGUUUGGGCAGCACUCUGUCUCCAUUGAUCAAGGAGACUGCCCAUGCCUAGGCAGCAUUUAGCCCUGCUCCAUCCUCAAAGCCCCACAAGGAGUAGGCUGCUUUUUGCUUUGACUCAAAGCAUUUACCUUGCAGCAUUCCGCUUUAAUGUUUUAGUGGCACUGACUACCUUUUAAAGAAGUUUUUGCAUUGCUCUCAACUCAGUCUGCCAAGAACUUUUGUCCAGUAGAGUUUAAGCUACUUUUUUGGUGUAAUUUAGACAUAAUUAUCUCACCGAGAUUGUAUCUGAGAGCAAGACCGUAUUCAUCAACUACUCCUUUCAAAAGUAUUUUCUGAAGUGGGUUCUUCACUGCUUUGUCAGACCCAGUUUUAGAUGAUGCGAGUGAUAAGUCUUCAGUGUCUUUGCACAGCAGUCCUCUGAUAAUCUGUGUGGCCAGCAGUGAUAAAAAAAAAGAAAUAAAAUAAAACAACUUUAGGAAUUAUUGUGAAAUGCAUAGAAAUUAAAGCAUAAUUGCAUCGUUGUCUAAAUCGGUGUCUCAGCCUGGAGUAGUAGGCCACUUUUUCAUCCUUUGUCUAAGAAAGAAUUUAGUAGAAGAGGAAAAACUCAGAGAAAAGCAGCAAGAAUGACCACCUGUCUUCCAGGUUGUCAGUGGAGAACCGGGGAUAGGGAAGUUCUGUGUUAAGUUUGCAAACACCUGAAAGGAAUAGAGAAGGGUAAAGAGUUGGGGACAUUUGUAUACCCGUAACGCAAGGACUGAAGGCCACCAGCAAGCUUAAGAUGGAAUGCUUAAUCUUGUGUAGUUCAGGCUGUGAAAGGCAUUUCUGCAGGAAGUCUUUGGUUCCUGAAGUUUAGUGAAGUCCAAAAUGUAAUUUAACAGACUUAUGAGGGAGAAAAAAAUAUUGCAGUCCCACAGAAACAAGUUCUGACAGGGAAUUAACGCAGGCCUGCCAGUUGCUGAGUGAUAGAGUGAAAGGGUUAACAACUGUAGGUUUUCCAUGUUCCCCUACCCACCUGGGUCUGUGGCCUUGUUUGACAGUUUUCAGGCAUGCGCAUCUUAGUACAGGCAUUUCAUCUAUGUAAUGGAACAUCGGUGAUUUUUUUCUUUUUUUUAAUGAAAUAAGUUACUUGUAAGCACGUGUGCUUUGUGUGCAUGUCGUAAGUGAUGCCCUCGUUUCUCUCACCUGGGCAUUGUAGAUUUUGACUGUUGUGGCUACUUAAUGCAGAGAAAAGGUAUGUAAUUCAGUGGGACGUGUUGGUUUAGAUACAGUGGGUUCAGAAACAGUCUGCUCCUGAUGAGCUUUUUGAUUAUUAGACUCCAAUUUGACUAUUAGACUCCAAAAAUAGAGUCUAAUAAGCGACUUUUCUUUCACAGAUGAGGCUAUAUGCGUAUAACAUGUAAAAAUAUGGUUUUGCAAAGCAACCUGUCAGGUGUAAAUUCUUACUGUUCGUCUGCAUGCUGUUUUUUCCUAUUAUUUUUUCAAGGUAUCACUUGGUGUGUUUGUUUUGGUAUUUCUUUGGUGGCAUUGCUUCUGCGUAUCCUUAUUUUAGCCACCUCAAAAAGCCUGGUAUGAAAUGAGACCACCAGAAGUGUAUUAUCUUUUUUCCUGCUGUUAGUUAAAAUGGAACUGUUUGAACAAGACUUGAAGGCUACAAUGUGAAUACCGGUGUUUUUUAAUGUGGAACAUUUGACUUCUGUAAUUGUUGUCGCAUCACGCCAUCAUCACAGCAUUGAAUUUGGGAGAGGGGUGCUACUAGUCAUUUGUAGAGCAUUGUCCAAUCAUCUUUGUCAAAGAAUGGAUUUACUGUUGAUUUCAGGCUCCUUGGUUGAGAAUUGUAUCUUAACUCGCUUUGCCUUUCUUCUUCCCCAAAGGGUUUAGUAUUAUGCUGCAAAUUUCUUCAGGACAGCUAUUUUUAAAGAACAUCAGGGUUGAGAAUUCGAGCACUGAGAAUUUAGACAUGAGGAUCAUCUGUUUAAUUCAGAUCGCCUUGAUUUCUGUGAAAGAAGAGUGCUACCUGGAAGGUGCACUUAGAUUGUGUCAGGGAAUGUCCAGAAAAAAGCUGGACUUUCUAUUUUGGAACGUAUUCAAUAUCUUUAAUGCUUGCCUUUUGAAAUUUGGCUGUAGUUUUUAUAGCUUUUGCGUGUAAUUCAAGUAAUAAAGCUCAGAAGUCUUUGAUUUACACAGAAAGCAAGUUUUGGGGAGAAGCACUACAAGUAGGUUUAUGAAAUCCUAUGCAGAUUAUCAUCAGGGUUGAACCAACAGCAGUGAUUUACCUGUUGAACAAAGAGUAGCUAAUAGCAGUAGUAGAUUCUUAUCCUUAAUUCACAAGCUUCAAGGUGCGAAGGGGUUGUUAGAUGCCUUUUCUGAUUCUUCUGUGUAUUGCAAAGCAGUAUCUUUCAUCUAGACCAAGGUGGUAGCUCCGAUUCUGUUAAUGUGUGGCUUCCUGAAUGACAUCUACUCAAGGUGGAGGCAUCAAGAGGAGGAAAAUCUUGUUCUAUUAGUUACUCCACUACUAAGAGCAUUAGAAAGGCAAACCCUGUUUGGCCAUUUUCAGUCUAGCUGGCUUCAGCUUCCAGCAGUCACUUCUGCUUAGCUUUCGAAGCUGAAAAAGCUCAUUGCAGCCCACUGGUGCCCAUCUCCUCCCUGGCACAGUGCAGUCGAGUCGCCUUUGAUAAACCACAAGUGCUGCCCUUCCUGCUGCUUCACAAUUUACGUCUGCGUUUUAAGGUCUCUCUGUGAGUUUCUAGUCCAAAUAGCACAUGUUCUCCUGGUAUUUUUGUAAUGUUAAUGUUUUAAUCAGCACAUCAAGCGAUAGUAAAUCAUGUUCCACUUUCACCAGUGGGAUUCUCAGCUGUUUGCCAAGCAGCUGGGGAACAGUGAGAUUCAUCAAUCAGGGAUUAUUAUUUAUUUUUUUGGGGGGGGUAAAUAUGUGUAUUGAAAGAAAACAUUUAUUAAAACAAGGGAAUCAAGGGAAUAAAGUAAGAAGCAUUUACAUGAUUUGAUUGGAAGGUGAGCAUUGCAGUGUAGCUUCUCCUGUAGUGCAGGUCACUCCUUUGUGCUGAGCUGUGUGCAGUCACAGUGCGGCCUGGUGACGGUGCUGAGCUGGGCAGUGGACAUACGGGAGAGCUCAACAGAACUUGGUCUGAGUUGGUUUAGGGUUGAGGGAGGCCGCUUUGUAUUCUUUUAUCUCUGUCUAAAAGGCAUUUUAAUUUAAUUGUGUAGUUUAGGUAGGCUCCACUGAAUCAAUAACUUUUACAAGUAGCAGUCAAUUUUUCUUCCAGAAGAAAAGAAUGUUUCUGUAGAUUUAGAUUGUCCUUAUUACUGAAUUGCAAAAUCACUAACGUGGAGAAUUCCACACAAACUACAUGUUCUGUUCCCAAAGGAAGGAUUUUUUUUUUCCCUGGAAAUAUUAAGUUAUACAACCUGAUUAAAAGGAUGCUAUGAAACAUUUGCACCUGAAAGCUUCUUAUUACAAUGAGAAGACAAUUGUGUACUCAGAAGCAUGGCAAAGUCUUCCAGUGGUGUAAAUCCAGCUCUAAAUCCUGUGUUAUCAACAACUAGGAUUUCUCAGUAGGCAGCAGAAGUCAUGGGAGAAUCAACAGGCACUUGUGCUUAGCUUUUGCCUUAGAACCACAGAGAAACUGUAGCUUCUGUAAUGAAUUGGCACCCAUUUUGCUAGAGAGAAAGGCAAGUUUUUAAAAUGGCGUCUUACUCUUUCUUUUUGUAAACUUAGUUUAAAUGAAAAUUGCACACGAGACUGCCAAGCUAACUCAGAUUUGCCUUUGCAACUUCCAGAAUAUGCUUUCUCCCGAGACUACAGAAAAUUACAAGUAUGCAUUGCCGUCUCACUGUCUGCCUAAGGGGAGUUUUGCCCUCCAAUAAAUAAAGAGUCUACAGAUCAUAAAUCAGCAUUUAAUCGUCAGCCUCCAGGUGACUCUCAAAUGUCAAGAAGAGGUGCGUGAUAACUCCCAGAUUUCUGUUAAUGGCCAUAGCUGCCGUCGUAUUGUUAAACAGAGUCUUGCAAGAGGCAAAUGUGACCUUUCCUAAAUCUUUUGCCUUUUUAAUUGUAUACUUUGUGCCUUUUUAAUUGCCGGAGUCUUUGUAAAUCCAAAUGUAGAGCAUCUAAAAUCAGAGCUAAAAUUGAAAACAAGUAGAAGCAUUUGGAAGAGAAGGAUAAGCUGUCAAAAUCUUGCCGUUGUCGGAGGAGAUGCUCGGUAUGGACUGAUGUCCAGUGGCAGGGAAUGCGUUCAGUUAGGAGAAUGAAGAGAUCAGAUUUUCUGCAGCAGAACAGUGAUUGAAUGGGUUCCUGAAUGCAUUCCUCACGUUAAUUUGUGUCAUUCUUUGGAAGUGCCAUAAACAAGUCUGUGUAGCACCUUGUCAGUGAUUUGCAUUGCAGAAAGAAUUGUGAAAAGCUGCGUAGAUACUGGAACUUCAGGGGCUGGAUGUAUUGCUGAGGUGAGAAUCUUCUGUCUGUAUUUAAAAACAAAGCAACUCUCUCAUCCCCUCCUUCCCCCCCCCAGGCUUCCACUGUUUCUUAUCCACUUGUGCCGCUCGCAGUGUGUCACAGCAGUCACUAAAUCAUGAACUGAAACAGAGGAAAAGUAAGUUAAUUGUGCAUUGCUGGCUAUCUGAUUAAGUCCUCUCUUCUGCAUUCAGACUCUAGUGGAUUUAUGAAGAUAAAGUAAAGGGAAAGAAACGAUGUGGCUACCGAGGGGAGAAUGAAUAUUAACGUCUUUCCAACAACGCUGAUGAAAUGUUAUAUGUUUAAGCUACCUGGCUGUUUCAAUUACUCAUGAAACAGCAUGGGUUGGAUGUAAUUCUGCUUGCUAGCGCUUGCUAAAUGCUUCAUAAGUGCUUUCAGGUGACCCGGUUUUAGGGUUGAUGUGAGGAACCUGUGAUUGUUGAAUGCUGUGGCAGGGCCCAACAAAGCCUGUGGGUGACACUACCCUCUAGGAAAGCGGGAUGGUUGGUAGGAACGCCAGGUGCCUUUUAAUACCUAAAGUGGAAAAGUUGAUAGUACGUUGCUAAUGAAGUAACUAAAUGGAGCAGAUCAAUAGAUGAAUAUUUAAGAGGCUCUUUAAAUGAUUAUGCUACAAAAAGUAUGCAGGAGGAAGAAAUAUGAGGCUCUGACAGCUACAUCAAGCAUCAGUAACGCAGAUCAGCUUGUCAUUGAGACUCCUGCCCACGUAUGAGGAAAGAACUGGGACAAAAUUGUUAAAGUUUUUUUUUUAAUCUUCAUCCAGAGUUUUUUUUCUAAAUCAUCAAACCUAAUUUUGCUUAAACUUAAAGUGAAGAUUGCUUUUAAUUGUAGGGCAAAUUAAAGAAAUAAAAGUAAUAGUGGAAAGCUUCAGUCUGAAUGAAAUGUGCUUUAGAAAGCUUGAGCCUUUGACGUGAGGGUAGAUCAGAUACUGCCUUUGCAACUCCAGUUGCUAGUUGUGACUGGCUUUAUUGCUGUUUCUGCUUCUUAAGGUUAAUACACACAGCCUCCGUGGAAGCAUUUAGAAGGAAUUUUCCAAAGUUCAGAAGUUCGCUUGGAGCCUUAUUUUCAUUGUGCCAAGUCUCAGUUAUGGUUUGCAUUACAUGCUGGGAGUGUGUGAGCAGUCUCAUCCACUGCAUCUUUAUAAAUGCAUAAUAAUGCAUAAGUGGUAGAUUUUUGCAGCCCCACACCUUUUCUGAGGGUAUCUUGUUUGUGAUGCAAGGUCUGUCAGUUACAGUAGAUAAUAGUUCACUAGUGAAGAUCACGGGGUGCUGUCUGGCACGCUGACACACUUUGCUCCUUGGUCAGAGGCACAAUAAAAUAAUCAGCACUUUAUCUGUCAUCUAAUUUUAGCCUCCGUCACCCACUUUGGCAGAGCAGUUUAUGUUACCUUGAACCUCAUCCCUGCUUUGUCCAGCACAGCGGGGUCAGCCUCCUGCUGGGCAAUGGCUUUGUUUUCUGCUCAUGCUCCAGCAGUCACAAAGCAGCGGCCAACUUCUCGAGUUCCUCCUUAUUCCUCAGUACCCAUGGUGUGGCACCUUGCAGCUGGGGCUUUUUUUAUUUAUUAUGUGCUUCCAAAUUCCCCGUGACUUUCAGGAACAGGCUCCUCGUUCUGCUGCUCUUCCUGCAUGCUAAGGCCAUGGAUGAGCGUGGGGAGGGCAGAGAGACCAAGCGGAUGGGUUUUGCUGCCUGGGCGCUGGCGGUGUAGCUCGCAGUGAGCUGGGGUUCUGGCGUCACUGCUGGAACCACAGGUUUCUGCCCUUCCUUCCCCCUUAGGCAGAUCCUCAGAGGUCACUCAUGCAAAGCCCGGAAUACACCCUGGCAUCUAUUUUAUGCCUUGUAGGAUCCCCUCAGGGCAGAGACUGCCUGGUCCUUUCUAGUUAAGCACAAGAGCUUUCCUCACCUCUUCCAGCAUCUCUUCAGCGUAGAAAUGGAGUCUUUUAAAACUUCGGCUUCUGCUUCUCUGAUCUUUGGCUGUUCCUUUUGCUGCUGUCAUGUUUCCUCAUUCUUCUUGGGGAGGAGAUUGACCCAGCAGCAGCCUUUACCUGGGGAGAUUGCUGACUUUCUCUCCUGCCUGGUUCGUAGAUCUGUUUUUACAUAAGUCAUUCCAAAUAUUUAUUCUUUCAGUUUGUGGAUGGACGCAUUUAUUGCAGCUGUUGGGAUCCUCAUUAGCAGAAAUUAGCGCAAGCUGUGACAUCGCAUGGCUUGACUUUUCUGCCACAGACCGCAGUUACGUGAACUGAAAUAACUCAUUACUGAAAUCAUCUGAGGUUAAGAGAAGCUUUCUGUCAAGUGGGUUUGCAGUGGGCAGCCUGGGGAAGUGGCACGAUGCUGCUGGAGCGGGGUGGAUGGCAUGAUGGCACCAGUGUGCCUAUCUGCAGAGUGCAGGCAGAAGGAGGGAUGAUGCUGCCUUGAUGGGAACCGAUGUAUGGGUGCACCACCAGUGUGCACGUGCUUGCAUGGGUGGGGAAUUUAUGGCAGGAGAGCUCUUGGCUUCAGUGGCAAAGUUGGGUAUGAGGUGGAAGGCUCACAACUGGGGUCAGUGUGCGAUGGAAGGAGACAUCCCCUGGUCAUAGGGAACCAAAUGGACUUUUGCAGAAUGUAAAGGUUUACUACAGCCUGUUGGCCUUACUGGCCUUAUCUUUUUCCAUUUGUAGACUACUUCCCCAUAGUUAUGACUCAAGAGGAAAACACACAGUGAUGUGUGCUGGAGAUCCUGCUGACACAGUUCUUGUUUAUUCUUCCUGUCUUAGCACUGGCUGUUUCUGGGCCUUGCUGUAGGCUUGCCCCUUGUUCAGCUCCUGGCAAGUGAAGGGGCUGGUAAUGCUGGAAGGAAGCACGCUUCUGUGCUGUGUUUGACACUGUGAAAAUUGGUUGCUUCGUCUAAGUGCCUUGUGAUUUAUAUUUAUGAUGUAAUGAUGGAGAGACAGGUGUUGGUGUCUUGAAUUUCAUUUAUUUAUUUUUAAUCUGUGCUGGAGGUAAUUUUGUAAUGUGUAUUGUUUUUGGGUGAAUCAACUCAUAAGAAGAUGGAUAAUGUUGUAAAUUGGCUACAAGAAGUUCCCAUGAACCCUUAAAUCUAGUGACGCAGUGUGUCCACGACUUCAGCUAUUUGGAUUUUGUUGUAAACCUCUUAGAUAUGAUACAGUGGAAUCCUCUUAAACACAAAUUCCAUGUAGCGAGUGACAGAACAUAAUGAAAGCAUAAACAGUUACACAAAUAAAACUGUCAGAUGCAUAAUGCUCCAGCUAUAAACAGCUGUGGAUUUCGGUGUGUUUGACAGAGUUUAACGAGAUGGGUUAGGAUGCACAUUUUUUUGGGUCAGUUUUGACUAUGCCAGAAGAGCUUUAAGCAUUAUUGAUACUUGUUAAAGGGUAACUUGCUUGCUUGCAACGGAAUCCUUUGCCAUCAGUGUCUUAGCGUCUCUGCUGCUGACAAAUUAGUACUUAUCUGUAUGUAAUGAAGUGCAUUAGAAAAAUGCUACAUGGCUGUUGGCGAUGUAAGUAGUGGGAGAUGGGACGUGUCUUUGAUAUGGUCCAGAAAGAUUAUCCAAGCAGGAUACUCGUUGUAUUACAGACGGAUAUUUGUUGCUUAGAUGCUGUCAGUAUGAGAUGGCCCGCACAGAUCUGUUGUACAAAGUCCAAGAAUUCAGCUUGCUUCAGUGUGACCUGGAGUGGAUUUAACAGUUUUUGUGUAGCUGGCGUUAUUUCAACCAGGUGAUAGUUUUCCCUGGGGGGAUUGUUUCCAUGUAAAAGCGAAGUAAUUUGGAUGACUUCUGUAAGCAUGAGGCCUGUGUUUUGCGUAGCACUGAGAUGUCAGUUGACCCAGUAUCUGGAUGCUCUGGCAGUUUUACAAAUUUUCAUCAUAAAAAAAUUGCCAUUCAAGGCAUGUUCUUUCCGGCUGGCCUUCUGCUGGAAGGAUGCUCACUGCUGGUGGAGCAGGACAGUCUUCAGUCACCUUGUGUCCUUACUGACAGUGCUGUUCAGUUGUGCCUUGUGCAGCCUGCUGAGAGCUUGGUGCCGGUAGAAAUCCCUGGUGGUUGGCUUUGCCUUGCUUAGCUGUUGAUUUAUGGACUGUGCACCCAAGAUCGUAAAGGAAAGCUUUCUAUAGAUCUCUCAACACACUGCACUGGUGGUCCUGCUGGAGGAAGAGCAAUGUUCUUUGGACACGGGUGUUCCCUUGCCGUCCAUCAGGAGGGGGCUCAGGCUGCCUUGCUGCUGCUGAGCAGGAGGGCGAGGGUGCCCCUGGCAUCCCCACGUUGGGGUGGACUUGGAGCCACACUGGUGUCAAUUACAGAAAGCAGUUAACAGGACUUCGUUAAACCAAGCGCUGGGUUUUGAAGUAUAUAAAAAUUACUAUUAGCAAUCAUAGAGAAAUAUCUGUUUGUUUUCAUAGAGUAUAUUAAGUGUAACAUUGAUUUUGACUUGAAAGUGUCCAAAAAGAGAAUUUAAGGCAAAUAAAAUGGGCAUGAAGGGACAUGUUUUGCUUGCAUUCAUAAAGAUGGUACUUCAGGGAUUUAUAUGAAAUAGAAAACCUUCUGCAAGUUGCAUGAAAUGUAAUAAAUUGUGCCUGAAAACACCCCCAGUUUGACUGUAAAGGUCUUAUCUCACCCAAGUAAAAUAUUUAUGCGUAAAUGCAUAUUUUAUAUUUUGCCUUUACCAUCCUUGGAUUGCUUUAUAUAUACUUUCAUAAAUGGCAUCUCUGGUGUUUGCUUGUAGUGAAGGCAGCAAAAAAGAAAACCCCUCAUACGAUUUAUUUGAUGUUACUACUUUGACUUUUCCCGUGGUUUAUUUUGGGUAUAAGGCGGAGCAAACAGGCUGAUAAGAGUAGAGCAUACUGGGGUGAUAAAAGCAAAGUAGAGAGCUGGAAAUUUUUCUUGAAAGUCUUUGUUUAAUUGGAACUUAUACUUCAGACACACGCAUCCAAAGUUGUUUUAUGUUCUGCGUAUCGCUGUGCUUUAUCUGCUACUUCUGUGUGGGGAUAUUUGUGCCCUGUUAAAAUGUUCAGUGUUUUGAGUGCUUUCAAUAAAAUCUUCGAGAAUGAUUCAAGUUUGGGAGACGCUUCAGUGAGUGAUUUAAAGCUCCAACUACUUAUUGAGGAGAAGGUGAAGAGGUGACAUUGCUGUUGCUUAGAAAUACUUAAAUAAAAGAAAGAUAUCAAUUUGGGGAAAAAGCAGAAAGAAGAAAGCUACAGGAAAAGCCAAAAUUGAUAGCUGAAGCGAGACAAUUUGCAGUAAGAACACAGGACGUGUUUACAGGAAGUAAUUAGCAGUUGAUGCAGUUCUUUAAGGGACUUAGCAGAUCAAAGAUGCAGUUGUUUUAGCAGCUUUUCACCUUGAAAUUUGCAGUUACCAAUUUUAUCGUUGGACUUCCUGGAGCUGAAAGGCUCAUGGAAAGACUCCCCUGUUUUCCUUGUGACCUUCCAGUGGUGGUGCUUCAGACUCAAUGCUCCAGCCCCUUGGUGCUUGGAUGUGCUUGGUUCCGUGCUGUAACCAAGCCAUGUGUGGGUUGGGGGCCAGGUCAGAACUGGGAUGGAAUCCCUGGGUGAGCUGGGGUUCACAUUACUGUUGUAGAGCACUUUGUUUUCCAAAUAGCCCUGUGGAAUGUUUGCUGAGUUCGUCAUCUGAGGGGGGAGUAGGGAUGGGCAGCUUCCACAUGGCAUGCUGAGUGGGAGAUGGAGGAUUGCAUUUUUGUGAUAUCUUACUCUAAAUCAUUUUUCUAGGCAAGGCGUUGCUGAGAAAAGGUCUUUUCUUGCAGACCUGGAUUGUGUUUCUUGGCUCUUCUUUGAGAAAACUAUAUUUCAGACCUCUAAAUCAUCAGACUUUGGGGGCAGGGGGUCUUUUUGCUCUGCUCUGUAACCUAGUGUUUGCUUUUUUGGAAGUGGGUUUUGUGUGUGUAUGAAACAUUAAAUUUCAUCCCAUUAGUAUUAGUCUCUCUGAAUAAAUAGGUGAUAGCAGCUUGGGGCUGGCUGCUGAGCCCUGAUAACAGUGACCACUGGAGAAGGGUCGUUCUUGCUUAGUUGAAAUAAUGACUUCCUGCAAUGCUUAGAUUUAAGCUAGUAAUUCUGAUCUCAAAGUAAAACCUUUCUAAAUUUCCAGUAACUGAGGCUUAUCUAAUACUUCAAAUUCUAGACCAUUUUCUGGCUUUUUACUUCUUCCAGGAAAGGACACCUUAUUUAACUUAGCAGAAGAGGAAAAACUUGUAUUGUGUCGGUCUGGAUGGUCUCUUGGCUCUGAGUGAAUCCAAAUUCUUUAUUGACAUUCAGAUGGCAAAAUAUAGCAGAUACCUAAGAAGUAGUUCAUUUUAAUAUGCUAACGUAGCUGUUUGAAUGCUGAUAUACUGUGUAAGACAGGAAUGCAGAUCGAUGCUGUAGGAUUCAUGCCCUGUGUUUGAGACAGUUCUUAUGCCUGUGUAAAUGUUGUUUAGGAGAAUGAACGUCUGGUUGUAAAACUAACUUGAGCUUAGAAAAGCCAUCAUAAAGUCAUAGAACCAUUAAGGUUGGAAAAGACCUCUAAGAUCAUCCAGCCCAACCCCAGCCCACCUCACUGUACCCACUGACCACAUCCCUCAGUGCCACAUCCCCACAGUUCUGGUACACCUCCAGGAAUGGAGACCCCACCACCUCCCUGGGCAGCUGUGCCAGCGCAUCACUGCUCUUUUGGAGAAGAAAUUGUUCCUAAUAUCCAGCCUGAAUUGCACAGGAAUCAUCUAGCUUUGUACUGGGAAAAGCUGCUAGAAUAGAAGAGGUUAAUGGAGCUUCUCUGCUUUUAAUUAGUUUGGAUUACAGCUUGAUUUAAGGCAAGUGAAGGCACGAUGAGUUCAUGUGAUGUGGAGGCUUGAACCUUAUGCUGCUGUCUGAGUGUCCUUGGUUAGCAGCACAUCCUCUGCUACGAGGAGGGCUGGUAGUCUGGCGGUGUGCCUUCCUGCAAAACAUUUUUCUUCAAGAAAAGCAGACUUCUUGGGAAACUUCAUGCCAGAUUGGAAUUGCCAGAGAGCAGCGCAGAAUGGAGCGGUUUGCUGUAAAAUCUGCUUCAGUUUAAGAAAAAAUAAAUUCGUGCAAUACCUAAUUCAGCGUUGCUCUAUCUUUUCCUUCUCCCUCUGAGCUGCAGAGGCACUGUAAUUUUAUCUGCUUCAUAUUGAAAAUUCAUUUGAAUGCAGUCUGAAUUUAUUUAUUUUUACUAUCUCAUCAGCAGAAUAUGCUUUUUUACAUGAAUAUAUUUUACAGAUAUAUAAAAAAAGGCAGGUUAUGAAGAAUGUUCUUGUGGAAUUGUUUUAUUUGUUAGUACUCUAUGUGCUUUUAAUGCAAUUUAGGUGGUAUCUAGUGGAAAUUUAGCUUGUCUUAGCUCGAAAUUCUGAAGCUGGUGCUUGCGCUUGUAAAUAAUGCACGCUUUAAGUCAAUACUUUACAUCAUUAUCUUGAGCAAUGGUUUAACCUUGAUAUAUUUCAAAACAAAUGUAUUAGAUAAUAUGCUCUAUACUUAUAUGGUUAUUUAUGGCUAUAAACUUUCUGAUUAGAUAUUAAUGUUGAAAUAACAUCAUCAUGUUUGCUGAAGAUGUCUUCCUUGUUCUGCCCUUUAAUCAAGACGGUGCUAAUACUGCACAGAAGAGAUGAUAUGCAGGUACUAGAAUUUGUCAACUUCUGGUGAAUGGGAAAAGCACUCAGUUUAUGGCAAAGCUCCUUUUCUUCAAAAUGGUUUAUUUAAUAAUAUGUAAGAUAAACUUAAGAGGAUAUGUUCUCUAGCAAGCAGUCUAAUGUUUCUGGAUUACUGAGAAGACCAAAUUCUUUUGUUUUUAAAGGAAGCUAUUCCUAAAAAUGUCUUAGCUGAGGAAAUUAUCUGAUGGAAGGGAAUGUAUUUGAUAUUACUUAUUUCAGAAAUGGAACUGUUUGUGCAGUCAUUUAGAAAGACUGAGAUAGCUGCAGUAUCUGGAGAAUAUGUUCUCUGUCUAAAUGAAAAUCCCACCCUGAGAAAGGAUUUUUAUUGGGAUAUUUUGGGAGAGGGCUUAGACAUCUGUUCUGCUGUCUUUAUUGCUAUACAUCCAGCUGAGCGUUUCCUUCUCUGUCCUUCAUUGCUGUGCAUAGUUGAUGUUCUGUGCCUUCCGUUGCCAAAGGACUUCCCACUGAUGUAAGAUAGAGGUAGAAAUAAACCCCUCCUGCCGGCUUCUUUUGCCAGCCAUCACCCGUUUCAGUUGCAUGAAGCUUAUGUGUAAAUGCAAAUCGAGUAGUUAUUGUUUCUUGAAUGAUACUUGAUAGUCAUUGCUGAGGUUUUCUAACGGUGAUGUUUCGAUGAAGUCAUAGAGUGUAACUGUGUUCAGCUAGUUCUUCAUUGUGUGCUUUCAGGUGCGUUCAAAGGACCUUUCUGAAUUUAAUCCACAGUCUUACUUUCAUUUCUUCCUGUAGUUUAACCACUGGGUUACUGACUGAUAGCCCCUGUAGUGUUUUGGUACUGUUGGUCUCCCAUGUUGAACUUGAGAUGAGUCUUUGUAGCAUUAAGUGGAUCUUCAGUUGUCCUGGUUGGAUGUUGCACUUCUGCUGAAGCACUCAAGGACGGGUUUUUGCUGGCAAGACGUUGUCCCUUUGCGGUGGUGCUUUAUGUGUUGCCUGCCAGCAGUUUCCAGAGAGCUGCCUGGGGAGAGCAGCAGCUACGUGCGUGACCAACUUCUGCUCAGCCACAAAUACUUGAGCUUGCUGAUCUGGAGGUAAAAGUCUUUGGGAGGUGCGGUGUCAUUGGAGCCUUGCCUUGUGAGUUCAUCUGCUGCUUGCUUGCAGAUGUUGACUAAGCCUGCAAUAUACCUUGACUCAUCUGACUUCUGUAACCCCUUCACCCUUGCGAUGGUGAAGCAGUGCAGAUCCUCCGUCCCCAGAGGGGUGGUGGCUGUAGCAGGUCAGAGUUUGACGUACAAACCAAUUGACCCACAUGUUCCUUUUCUCCAGUUGCAAUGGGAUAUUCAGGGUGGAGCAACGACGCUAUUAACUUUUUGAACCAGGACUCACCUUGCUGAUGAAGCAUGUGCUUCUCAAACUUCUAAAGCCAGUGUGCAUGCAGGAGUUUCAAGAACCAGUGGCCCUACUGUGCACACCCAAACUGCUCUUUGGGCCAUGGCAGUGCAGCUCGUGCCAUUGAGGUGGUGGCUCUUUGUACCCUCUGUUUCUCCAUGUAAUGAUACCAGUGGUAUCUACGCAGAAUUUGAUGUGAAGGGUAAGCUAAAUUUAAUGGUAAGUUUACUAAGCACUAAAAUAAAAGUGGUGAUCCGAGGGAAGCAUUUGGUUAAUCUAGUGUUUGGAGAUUAAUUAUUCUUUUGAGUUCUGUGUGUUCUAGGUGUUUGCUAGGCAUCCUGUGAGCUGAGCAAAGUGGGGCCAAUCUGUUCACAUCAAAUAUUUGCCUGCGCUCUUCCUGUACCUUUACUUUGUGUGCGUGUAGGUGUUGACUGAUAGUAAAGAGAACAGUUGGUAAAUAGCUCAGUCAAAAAAGGCUUAUUUAUGAUUUGAAUGUGCAUCUAAGAAGGAACCCCUGGCAUGGAAUGCAAUACUGAAGUUUACACGGGCACGGUUUCAAUUGCAAUUUUGCUUGAAUGCUUAUUGAUGGUGAAAAGAGCUGCUUUCUGCUAAAGCGCUGGUGCUGCCUCUGCUAAAGGAUGUGAGAUUUGCUGCUGUUUUUGCAACGCAUAGUAAUCUUCUACCUUACUGGAAAUCUGUUUUCAGGUUUCCCUUUUUCCUCCCCUGGAGCUUUGUGACGAGGAAGCUGGGAGGAUUAUUCUCAGCUGACAGUGUUUCCAGCUUCUCUCUGCGUUUCCCAGCGCAUCCUGGCGUCCUGCUGACACCUGGAUGGUUAUGAAGAUGUAUGAGACCCCAGCCUCGGUGUAACACGGCUCUGGGCAGCGCUGGAUUUUCGCUCGAGUUGCUUCGCGCACCGCCGCUGACAUGUCAGAAGCAGUUUACACUGUUUGAAUGAACAUCAGCCCUCUAGCAGGAACUUUUAAAAACGUUACUCAAUAAAAUUCAGCAUCGAGUUGAGAUAGCAAAGAUAAUCCUCCAUUUGCUUGUUGAACAGGUGUACGUUACGUCAAACGGAAUGGUGCUGGGGAUGGGUUUUUGCAGCUUAUGGUUCAGGGGAAAAGAAAUUUGCAUGGUAGACAGUAUGCCAGUUUUCGUUGUUUUGGACUCAGACUGGAGCUGAAAUUCCUGUGUGCUUUGUAGGGAUGGAUCUGCUCAGUGCUGAGACCGAACUGCGGUUUUGCAUUUCAAAUACCAACUUGGGGUCCUCUCACACCUUUUACUUUGUAAGCUUUGAAGAAAGGCGCUCUGUAAACGUGCAAGUUCUCAGUUCUGCUCCAGCUGACCCACCCCUUGGGUAGCUCACAGUGUGCUGCAGCACGAGGCUUGUAAAACCCAGUACGCCCAUCUCAGAGCCUGGCUUUGCCACCAGCCUUGAAUGGCAAAUGGAUGAUUGGAAGCGCUGUGGCUGGCACAUGUGCUGGGCAUCCCACCUCAUCCCUGUGUGCUGCUCUGCCUGUGGCACAUAGAAAGCUCCAGGGUUAAUGGUAGACAUGUGUUUGUGGAUAAUUUGGUUACACUGGCCUGUCCGAGUUCUCCUGUCUUCUGCGUUCAGCCUUCAGUGUGUGCUAUGGCCAGCCAGUGGGACAGCCGAUGGUGACACCAUCAGCUUGGAGGCCAUCAUUCAGCGAGAGAUGGCUUACACCACUGGGUGUGAGGUCAUUGCAGAACAAAAUUGAU